rnacentral:pre_miRNA from 1 species
UUAUGUUUUCUUCAUUUUUUUUUGGAAUUUUUCUGUGAUUCUUGUUGUUGAAGGUUGAUGGAGAUGAUAUAAAGAUAAAAAAGAGAAGAAG